rnacentral:rRNA from 1 species
UACGUAGGGUGCGAGCGUUGUCCGGAAUUACUGGGCGUAAAGAGCUCGUAGGUGGUUUGUCGCGUUGUCCGUGAAAACUCACAACUCAAUUGUGGGCGUGCGGGCGAUACGGGCAGACUGGAGUACUGCAGGGGAGACUGGAAUUCCUGGUGUAGCGGUGGAAUGCGCAGAUAUCAGGAGGAACACCGGUGGCGAAGGCGGCAUCCUGGACCGACAUUGACGCUGAGGAGCGAAAGCUAGGGGAGCAAACGGG